AAUUAUUUCAAUUUUCUUUCACAAUACUAUUACACUAUAAUUAAAAUUAUUUUUUCAUUAUUCAUUACUAAAACAAAUCUUUUUAUAAUUAUUUUUAAUAAUUUAAUUUUUAAAAAAUAUAAAUUAAUAAAUAAAAUAUAAUCAAUUUAUAUUGAUUUGCACAAAAAUCUUUUCAAUGUAAAUGAAAUGCUUUACUUAAUAAGCUUUAAAUUGCAUUCUAGGUACACUUUCCAGUACAUCUACUAUGUUACGACUUAUCUUACCUUAAUAGUAAGAGUGACGGGCGAUGUGUGCAUAUUUUAGAGCUAAAAUCAAAUUAUUAAUCUUUAUAAUUUUACUAUCAAAUCCACCUUCAAUAAACAUUUCAAAUUUAUAUCCAUAUAAAUAAUUUUAUUGUAACCCAUUUCUACUUAAAUAUAAGCUACACCUUGAUCUGAUAUAUUUUCUUUUAAAAAAUUAUGAAAAUUAACAUUCUUAUAAAAUAUUCUAAUAACGACGGUAUAUAAACUGAUUACAAAUUUAAGUAAGGUCCAUCGUGGAUUAUCGAUUAUAGAACAGGUUCCUCUGAAUAGACUAAAAUACCGCCAAAUUUUUUAAGUUUCAAGAACAUAACUA
rnacentral:rRNA from 1 species